GUCCUAUCUUAGACCCCCCCAAAAGAAAAGAGUAUAAAAACAUAUUUACUUUCCAGUUGGCAACUUGGAUCAACUCCAGGCUUCUUUCUGCUAAGACUCUUUUUCUCUCAGCACAAAGUCCCUUUAAUGGAGUCUCAGAGUGGCCGGAUAUGCCCUACAUCAACUUCCUGAAUGGGACUCUCCAGCAGAGAGAAUGAGACCUCUGCUAGCUCUGACCAUUUAUAUUGCCGUCAUGGAAGCACCAAAACAUCCCGAGAAGACUUCAUAAGGAAAGCUUAUUCUGAGCAACCCUGUCUCUUCAUCUUCUUACCUACUAUAUUGAGGUUCUUGGCUUGGGACAUUAUGAAAUGCAGGGAAGCAAAG
rnacentral:lncRNA from 1 species